rnacentral:misc_RNA from 1 species
CAACACUCAAGCUCUGCUUGGUAUUGGGCCCUGCCGGCAACGGCUGGCCUUAAAAUCAGUGGCGGCGCCAUCUGGCUCUAAGCGUAGUAAUAAUCCUCGCUAUAGGGUCCCGGUGGAUGCUUGCCAGCAACCCCCAACUUUCUAA